AAUAAUCACAGGAGGCAGAAGGAGGGAGGAAAGCAGGAGGCUGACCUGAUGGACAAAUCAGGGAGCUCCCUGCUUCUGGAAGUCGAGAGGUGCCGUCACCAGCUGCUGAGGAGAUGGACGGCGUUGCACGUGGGCUUCUAGUGGCUCGUUCUCAGGGAGGCCCAAGUCUGUAGCCGGGGUGACUGACUACUGCAGAGCUGUGCUCAGUGAUCCUGGACUCCGUGAAAGGUGUGCAUUAUUGAAGGCAGUGAGACAAAGAGUGUCAGGAACUCCGCGAGGAGCAAGAAGCCUACCUCGAAUACAGCCCAUUGGGAACACGCUCACCCAAGGUAAGAACGAGAAGGCACACAUUUCUUUCAUCUUAUUUAAAAGUGGAGGACAUAGAGAAGGACUUUUUAAUGGUAGUUGUAUGUCUGACACCGGCAGCCCUGGUAGAGCCCUGUGGGACUCAGAGAUGCACUCACC